AACAGAGAAUGGCGGCAUCAUGACAUGAGCUGGUGAGGCGUAAUUGAAAGCAGAUGCGAGCUGAGCACGCUGGAGUUGGAACACAGAGUUAUGCAGACCCACCCCUCUAACACUUGAACUAUCACUCGAGCCAGGAAAUUGAGAAUGGGGAAAGGGGGGUGUGCGUGCGUGUGUGUUUACGUGGGGAUUCCACUUUAAUAUCGUCAGAGAGCAACUGAAUCGACCUGAGCCCUAGGACCAUGCCUCAGGACUACCUGGCAGGAUGACUCCUUGCUGUCCCCAGUCCACCUGGCCGUGCUGCUGCUCCAGUUUCAACUGUUCUACCUGCGGCUAUGAAACCCUGACCUGUUCACCGGACGUGCUACCUGUCCCAGACCUGCUGUUUUCAACUCUCUAGAGACCGCAGGAGCGGUAGAGAUACUCUUAAUGAUCGGCUAUGAAAAGCCAACUGACAUUUACUCCUGAGGUGCUGACUUGCUGCACCCUCGACAACUACUGUGAUUAUUAUUAUUUGACCAUGCUGAUCAUUUAUGAACAUUUGAACAUCUUGGCCAUGUCCUGUUAUAAUCUCCACCCGGCACAGCCAGAAGAGGACUGGCCACCCCUCAUAGCCUGGUUCCUCUCUAGGUUUCUUCCUAGGUUUUGGCCUUUCUAGGGAGUUUUUCCUAGCCACCGGGCUUCUACACCUGCAUUGCUUGCUGUUUGGGGUUUUAGGCUGGGUUUCUGUACAGCACUUUGAGAUAUCAGCUGAUGUAAGAAGGGCUAUAUAAAUACAUUUGAUUUGAUUUGAUUUGUGGUUGAAUGGGGAAUUGGGCUUCAUGGAAAAUGCUGUCCUAGGUUGCAACAGUAACCAAGGGGGACGGGGCUUAGCCAAGGGUCAAUUGCCCUUUAAACUAGGGCAAACUUUAAAUUUGGAUUUCACAGCAAGAGUGCAACAAUGUGUUAUUGUGGGGAUUGAAGCACUUACUUUAAAUUACAGUGUUCAAUGAGCAUAGUCAUUUCAUGUGAAAACUAUCAUUUUUAGGGACUAGGGACAGAGUUUUUCCUGCACAGGUCUCAUAGUCAGUACCAACUCCUGGCUCUAGUGUAGGUACACCAUGUCAUUGGCUGUGCUUUUAGAACAGAUGACUCAUCAUUGCUAUUUCCAUGGUAAACCUCACAUAAAAUGAAACAAAUCAGUGAAGCAAACACAGAGACAGAGUGACAUCAGAAAGGCUGCCUGGGCUGCUGCGAUACAACAGAUUCUGACUGGUGGUGAAGUUGGCAACAGCCCUGAGAAAGAAAGAAAGGAACUUCCUGUUUCAAAAUUGAAAAAAUAUGUAGUGGAUGGAACUUCUCAUGAAUGUUUGCAAGAGCUCAUUCUACCUUCUCUCUCGUGCACAAAGACUCUCUCUCACUCUUCUCUAGAAGAACAUGAUGUCAACACUAAUGGGUGCGUGUGUGACCUGAGUAAUGUCUGCAGCUGUUCCUAAUGUCAUCCUAAUAUUUCUGUACUGAAUGUUCUGUUACAUCCCCAAUGCAUCAUUACAUGUAAGACUUCAUAUGUGAAUGUACUGUGUAGUAAUAUAUCCAAAGAAACACACAUAGAAUGUCAGAAACUCACUGAGGAGUGCAGUAAGUAAGGGGUAGCUGGAGUUGUGUUAUGACCUUAACACCACAGGCCAUGGUUUAUAAUCACCCAUUGGUUGUUAUAGUUUGUGGGGCAUACGUUAAGCGCUCUAGUGGCAUUUACAUAGAAGUCAGAGCAAAUGUUGUGUGCUACAGUUGAAUAUACUCAUCCAUUUAUGGGUUGUUCUCACAUUCUAAAGGAGGCAUCAUGGAAGCAAUGGCAACCUGAAUUCAACCAUAAUCGCUCCAUUGAAGAUGUAGUUAAAAAGUCUUAAGAUUUACAAGGAACAUUAGGCUGCUGAUCUGAAUGAAGUCUUACAUUUAACAAAUAAAUUAACUGGAGCGGAGAGCAGCUUUCAACCCUUCUGUUUAAAAUGAGUUUAGAUGAGAAUUUGGCUGAUACUGCCAUGUUGUUGCUUCCAACACGGUAUUAGGAAAUAUUCUGUUAUUGGUCUCCACCGUCUCCUUACUGAUUUCUUAGUCACAAGAUGAAACACAGGGAUGAAUUAAGCUCAGAUACACGCCCAGACUGUUUGGAAUCAUUUCCAAGACUGGGGUAUUUUGAAACUUUUAUAUGGAGACAAUUUUGUGCCAAGUCACUUUCCUCUGUUCUUCCAGUCGUUUUUUCUUCUUCCAAUAAAUCAACAGACGGGAAGACUAGCAGGUGACUGUUAGGUGAUUUGAUACUUCUGUUCAGUUUUUAAAAAUAAACCUAUGACAUUUGAA